rnacentral:lncRNA from 1 species
GCCGCCCCCGUCUAGGGGGCCCGCCCCAGCCCCACGGGAAGUGGGACGGGGAAAGGCACCCUACAAAGAAAGGACUCCUAGCUCCCAACUGGUUCGAAUCCCACCUCGGCCACUUACUGGGUGUGUGACCUUGGGUAGGGUAACGCCUCUCUGUGAGCCUCUGCUUUUUCCAGAAGAAACGGGAAAAAUCAAAGUGCUGCCUUCUCUGAGUCAAUUAGGCGACCCUCAUUACGGCGACAGUCGGGAAGUAUGGGGUCUGGGCCCGCCCGGGCACACGGAGGGUGCCUGCCGCAGGUGGCCGGUUCCCUCGGGGCUGCCCAAGGCUGGGCGAGGGCCUCUUCGCCCAGCUGGUCGGGAUCAGGACGCGACACGGAAGAGACCCCAGCUCUGCCCUGACCCCGGUCCGGGUCCGCAGGACGCAGCCCACUCGCCCUCAGAACACCGGCUCGCCUGGCACCCGGCGCGGCCCGGGCCCCGCUCGGACUCGAACCUGGUGGGGGCGCGCCCGGCAGAAAGCGGGGUGCUGGGACAGCGGGACCCCCACGCGCGACCCUGGUCUCCCGGGCCAGUCCCCUCCCCAGGUCCGGGCGGCUCACCAGGGCCGACUUGGAUGCUGCGUCCUGCGGGGCAGGAAACCUCCUGUCUCAGGGCCUCACGAGGCUAGAGUCAAAAUGUCAGCUGCCGUGGGCUCUUAUCUGCAGACUCUGGGGAAAGCCCACUUCCAGGCUCAUCCAGGAUGUUAACAGAAUUGUCUCCAUGGGCCUAGGACUGAAGUCCACGUCUUCUUGCUGGAUGUUGGCUGGUGUCAUUCUCACUCCUAGAGGCCACUGCAUUCCUUCCACGAUGGCUUGAACACCUCCAUCAUCAGAGCCAGCAAGCAAGAGCACGCUGAAGACGCUUCGAGAUGCAGCAAGACGCCUGUAAUCCCAGCCCUUUGGGAGACCGAGGCAGGUGGAUCACGAGGUCAGGAGAUCGAGACCAUCCUGGCCAACAUGGUGAAGCCCCGUCUCUACUGAAAUACAAAAAGUUAGCCAGACGUGGUGGCACGUGUCUAUAGUCCCAGCUACUCGGAGGCUGAGGCAGGGGAAUCGCUUGAACCCGGGAGGCGGAAAUUGCAGUGAGCUGAGAUUGCGCCACUGCACUCCAGCCUGGCAACAGAGCGAGACUCCAUCUCAAAAAAAAAGGUGCUGCAAGACGCUUCCAAUCUCUGUGACUUCCCCUUCUGCCAUACCUCUUUACUUUUUCCCCCUCUUUUGGGGAGGGGGGAGGGUUUAAAAUAAAUAUAAAAUUUACCAUCAUAACUGUGAAAGGAAAAUAAAUCUCAGGACUCCAAAAUCACUAAGCCAAAGGGAAAAGUCAAGCUGGGAACUGCGUUGGGCAAACUGCCUCGCCUUUUCUUCUUUAAUAAAAUAGCUACGAAGAUUUAAAAAGCUACAUACCUCCCUCACAAUUUGCCCGCUAGGAAAUUUUUCGUGGGCACCCAAGAUCUUUACCCUAAAACAGUUUUGUUGAAUUUUACCCUAACAAUGUACAUUGACAACUGAUCUUCACAGGUUCCAAACAAAGGAUGGAACUCUAAGUCAUCCCUCUGCUCACCUGAUUGCUUCCUCUGGUAUAAAAGUGCAGAUUCACCGAGCCAGACUAAGGCAUAAGUGACUAUUCCUCUACCCCCGCAACCUGUAAAUUGUGUAUUUCAGUGAAAGUCUG